rnacentral:rRNA from 1 species
GACGAACGCUGGCGGCGUGCUUAACACAUGCAAGUCGAACGGUAAGGCCCUUCGGGGUACACGAGUGGCGAACGGGUGAGUAACACGUGGGUGAUCUGCCCUGCACUUCGGGAUAAGCCUGGGAAACUGGGUCUAAUACCGGAUAGGACCACUGCCUGCAUGGGUGGUGGUGGAAAGCUUUUGCGGUGUGGGAUGGGCCCGCGGCCUAUCAGCUUGUGGGUGGGGUGAUGGCCUACCAAGGCGACGACGGGUAGCCGGCCUGAGAGGGUGACCGGCCACACUGGGACUGAGAUACGGCCCAGACUCCUACGGGAGGCAGCAGUGGGGAAUAUUGCACAAUGGGCGCAAGCCUGAUGCAGCGACGCCGCGUGAGGGAUGACGGCCUUCGGGUUGUAAACCUCCUUCAGCACCGACGAAGCGCAAGUGACGGUAGGUGCAGAAGAAGGACCGGCCAACUACGUGCCAGCCGCCGCGGUAAUAC